rnacentral:misc_RNA from 1 species
CCGAGUUUACAACUCCCAAACCCCUGUGUACAUACCAAUCGUUGCCUCGGCGGAUCAGCCCGCUCCCGGUAAAACGGGACGGCCCGCCAGAGGACCCCUAAACUCUGUUUCUAUAUGUAACUUCUGAGUAAAACCAUAAAUAAAUCA